UUUUAAACACAUGGGACUCUUUUUAAAACACAUGGAAAAAACCUCUUAAACACAUAAGACUCCUUAAAACAUUUCUUAAACACAUGAAACACUCUAAUACAUUUUUUAAACACAUAAGACUCAGUUAAACAUUUUUUAUAAAAAAGACUCAGUUUAGUGCGUUGCGUUCAUUUUAUGUUUUUUAUUACUUUUUGAAAAGAAAUAAUUAAAAGAACGCCGGUUAUCCACAUUUCGAGGUAAUCACCAAGAAUACGAAUAACCAGAGAACCGGAGAGCCACAUGACAAACCGAUCCUUUUUCAUUCUAUUUUUAUUAAAAAAAAGACAACAAUUUUUAUCACACAAAUAACUUAACAAAAAAGGAUAAACUAUUCUAGCAUACUAAACCCUAAAAAACAAUCUAACAUAUUUCCACCUUUAUACUAAAAGAAAUAAAAAUACAAAAGAUAAAACACUAAAAAAGGAUAAAAAAACACAUUUUUUAGGUCGGGGGGGUGCGAAAAAUGAAAUCUGGGGACUGGGCUUAACAGGUCAAGGCCCAACAGUAAAGUCAAGAAGGAGGUAAUCCAGUGUGGCAUGAAAGCAGAGGCACGCAGUAGACGUCAUGGAUCUGAUUUUUUGAUUAAAUCAUGAAGCUGUGAUUUAAAAAUCACAUGACAGAUCUCAGCCCUUGGA
rnacentral:lncRNA from 1 species